UCCCCAUCAUCAUAGUUGCUUAAACACACCAAACCAUCAAAUACAAGAACUCGUUGCUGUCUAUCAAAGAACACCAUUGUUUAGACAAACACCUGCAACAACAUGGGAGAUAGAUCUGGAUGUCUAAGACUAGAGAGGGUUUUAGUUAUGAUAUCAGAGCUAGACAAUAUUACUUUGGGUUUGGUUUUGAGAAUCCUUUAAUGACAACCGACACCCGGCGUUAGAUAAAAGCUCCAACUAAAAAAAUGCUAAGUGCAAAAACCCAUAAAAUUCUUGCUGCUAAUGAUAUUUCAAGCAUCUCUAGAUGUUUCCAAGACCUAAUGUCUCUCUCUUCAACUACUCGUUUCUUGAAAUCAAUUUUCUUAUUUGUGCAAGAAACAAGAAAUAUCUCGCAGUUGAUGGGGAAAGGCUAAUCAAGUCCUCUUAAUUAGAUUUCGUUGCAAGAAAUCAAAGAUUGGGUUUGCUUUGCCUGCCAAAUUCGAUGCAUUUGUGGGGCUUUCAUGGUCUUACCGCCGGCCGUAUUGAUCACUAUAAAAUGGAGACCUGUGGAUUUCACACUUUUUUUGUCGCACAUUGAUGAUAUAUAUGUAUAUUUAUACAGAGCAACAGAGCAAUCACACGUGAAAGAAAGCUUCUACUGUUUAUUAUUUGCCAUAAAUGGAACAAUAGCGACAAGAAACUCCAGAAAGUGGAAGAACAUGGGAUGAAAACAGUCAAUUACUAAAGAUCAAAUCAAAAGUCGAUUAAUCUCAGUGCGUGUGCGUGCGUGCGUGUGUAGCAUAUCAAAUCAAGUAAUGAAACUAGCUAGCUAGCUUGUAAUUAGACUUAUUUAGUAGUCGUUUAUGAAAGUGAUUAAAGACAAAUCAAAAGUAACAAAGAGUAUUGGUAUAUGGAUGGACUCCCUCCCAUGAAUGCCAUAAUCCCAUACCUUCUUCAA